rnacentral:lncRNA from 1 species
AUUUUUUCCUCCAAGGAUACAUUUUAUUGAGGUGUUUUGUGGUUACCCAAAGCUGCUUCUCCUGUUCCACCUAAGGAACAUCCAGUCUUCUG